rnacentral:lncRNA from 1 species
CUUUAUUAUAUGACUCUUUAGUUCUCAGUGUCAUUUUCAUAUUUUUAGAUUGUGAAAUAUAUCCUUGGUUAGAUGGUAUUUUGCCUAGACUGUUUUUAUUUUAUGCUUGUACGCUAGAAUCUGUUGAUCGGCAAGUAUUUUUAGAAUCCUUUUCUAUCAAAAUCUUCUUAAUUUCCUCAAUAUUUAACGAUGGAAAGCGUUUUUCAGUAGCUACUUCUGCUGCUCCAGCCAUACUUUGUUGCCGGAAACAUGUAACUGUCGUCUGUUAGAUCGAAACGAUUUUAUGUCGAGAGCGC